rnacentral:ncRNA from 3 species
CAAGUCCAUUACGAUGAAGGAGUAGCGAUCCACAUCGGCCCCGAGCGGUGCGCAGGCGCUCGUGAGGACGUUGGCGAAGCGUCGGUAGGGGAGCGUGCAGGCCAGCCAUUGAGCCACGAUAGAGUUGCUAUCCUGGGGCCGACGCUGUUCAACUUGCGGAAGGCAAUACCGAGGGAUGCGUAAGCGCGAGCAUCCUGACGAUCCGGCGUGGUCUGAGACCC